GGGUUUUGAUGAUUUAAAUACAUGCACUCAACUAUACUCCAAAUGCUUUUAUUGAGCUUGGAAAGUUGACCAAUGUUUUUAUUGAGCUUGUGAAAGUUGAUCUUGAUAAACAAUCAAAGAAAGAGAACUUCUCUAGCUUAGUAGGCUAAGUAGGUUUGGAAAGACUUCUUUUCUAAUGUAAAAUGUAUCUAAAAUACUGAUUGAUGGUAAAUCCAAACAUGUUUAUGCUACAAUAUUUUAUAUUUUUUCCGGGAUUAACAGUUAACAGGGCUGUGAUAUCAUUGUAUUGUAUUGUAAGCCUAACAUGAUUUUAAGUAGAUUAAAUAUUAUAUUAAAAAUAUCUAUGGGAAAUCUUAUUGUGAAUGGUCAAUAUCAUCUGUUGAGAUCAACACAGCAGUAGAACAUGUUCAGUUAUUAAAGAUAUGUGCACACCUGUUUAUUAUUAGUAGUAAUGUUCUUCUGUUGUUUUACUCCUUGUGUUUAUUGUGUACGUGUAAGGGACUAUUUUUCUGUUGUACUGCUAAUAAAGGAUACUGAUAAUGAACAACUAAA